UUGACAGAAGAGAGUGAGCACACAGAGGCAGAUGGCAUAAAGUGUAUGUUAUUGCUUUUGCGUGCUCAUUUCUCUUUCUGUCAC
rnacentral:pre_miRNA from 1 species